rnacentral:lncRNA from 10 species
AACCAUGUCCACGGCGCCCGCCAUUCUGUAGCCUAUGCUCGGAGGGCACAUGAGCAAGAGCUUGACCAUCUGUACCGUUGGUUGACUUGCUCUAUUAAGGGCUAUGAUUUCAGGUCGUCCUGCGUGUUUAGAGGAGGCGAGUGGAAUCUUGAGUCUCGGCUGGAGAAGGCAGAGCACGGGCAUGCAGACCUCAAAGCCUCAAACCUGCGUGUGAGAGGAGAAGUUGGCGAGCUCCAGCGUAUGGUCCACGGUUGGUAUUCUAGGUGCGAGCUGAGGACAGGGGCUUUUGUUUUUCGCGCUCCCAGGUAGCGCCAGCACCUAUAGUAGCUCCAGGAGCACAGAAGGCGUUAAGUGUGCAUUGGUUUUAGAGAAAGAAUGCCUGUGCGUUUUGUGUUUUCACUCUGUGACAUUGUGAAAUUCAUUGUGUGAGAACAUGGAUGGGGUUGUAUUCCGGAUUAUGGUUUGUUUCUAAGUGUGUUACUUUGGACAUGAAAUGGUUUGUUUCAGAUUUUGAGAUUAUGUAAAUUUUUUAAGCCCUCUCCCUUCACUCCUACUCCCACUCUGAAAUUUCUCAUGCCCAAUUGCCAUUCUCUCACUUAAAAUACGAGUCUGGCUGAUUUGUCCAAGGUAAAUACUACUAUGGCCUACUUAUCCAUUAGGCUGAAUGGGCAAAGUACCGAGAGCCCACAGAAAUGUUUUCUUUCAAAAUAAGAAAAUGAAUUUUAAGGUCAAAGAAACUUAAUAUCGUAGUCUACUGGCGAGUGUAUAAAUUGAUAUAAUCACUUGGGAAAACUAUUUGGCAAGAUCUAUUGAAUUUGAAUAUAUGCAUUUGCUAUAACCUAGCAGUUCCAUUCUUACCUUUAACCCAAAUGUAAGUGUAUACAUAUUCACCAAAAUACAUGAAUGGGGAUGUUUGUGGCAUUGCCAUUUUUAUUGGAAUUGCACUCAAUAUAUGGGUACUUUUCAGGAAAAUUGGUAUUUUAAACAUUGUGAAAAGGCUGGGCGUGGUGGCUCAUGCCUGUAAUCCCAGCACUUUGGGGGGCUGAGGUGGGUGGAUCACUUGAGGUCAGGAGGUCGAGACCAGCCUGGCCAACAUGGCAAAACCCCGUCUCUAGUAAAAAUACAAAAAUUAGCCAGGUGUGGGGGCCCGUGCCUGUAGUCCCAGCUACUUGGGAGGCCGAGGCAGGAGAAUCGCUUGAAUCCAGGAGGUGGAGGUUGCAGUGAGCCGAGAUCGUGCCACUGCACUCCAGCCUGGGAGAAAGUGUGAGAUUCUGUCUCCCCCUACAAAAAAAGAAAAAGAAAAUUGAGAAGGGACCUCCAGGAAGAUGGAAUAGAUGUACUUUUUUCUAUUUGUCCAGCUAAGUACAAUAAAAACCCUGGGCAUUAGUUAUAAAAAAAGAGAAAAAGAACACUGAGUGGUAGAGAAAAGGUAGACUGGUGCUGAGUUCCCUUGAUUUUCUUUGUGCCUCCUUUGUGCCAGACUUAAAGCCAAAGAAGCUAGCAGUCCCAAUACACCAAUGGGCACAGACAAAAAAGUCCCAGCAAAAGCCUGCUGUCUUUAGCCAAAAGACAAGGAAGAGGGCAGCCUAGCAAGAAGGAAAACUUUUAGACAAUUACUGCCAUGCUCUAGUCAAAACACCACAGGAAAAACCUUCAGCACUAUCCCCAGCAUGCCAGCAAAGACCCAUGCUUCCACUCUUGCCUGGAGAGUUAGGACUUUCCUCCCCACCCCUCAACCCAGUGCUAACAGUAGAAGCCACAUGGAGUGCAGUAAUAAGGCACUCCUUUCCCUCCAAAUUAGAAAGGUAUCAGUGGAGGUCUAGUGGGAAACCGGAACUCCCACCCCUGCCACUAGUAAUGAGGAGCCCCCCUGUGGGUAUCAAUGGAGGCUGAGUGGGAAAUCUGGAUUUCUGUCACCACCUAAUAAUAAUGAGGCAGGAUCCACUUCCCCUACCACAGUGAUGUCAGAGGAGAACAGGUGAUAUAAACUGAAUUGUGUACUCCACUCCCUGAGUUCAUAUGUUGAAGUCCUAACUCUCAGUACCUCAACAUGUGGACUGUAUUUGGAGAUAAGGUCUUUAAAGAGGUAAUUAAGGUUAAAUGAGGUCUUUGGUGUGGGCCCUAAUCCAGUAUGACUGGUAUCCUUAUAAGAAGAGGAGAUCAGGACACAGAUACACAAAGGGUGUGUGAAGGUAGCACGUUUACCAGAAGAACAUGGCCAUCUACAAGCCAAAGAGAGAGACCUCACAAGAAACAAUACUGCUGACACCUUGAUAUCAGACUUCUACCCUUCAGAACUGUAAGGAAAUUAAUUGGUGUUGUUUAAGCUGCCCAGUCGGUGGUACUUUGUUAGGUAUGAUCCAGAGCCUCAGAUCAGAAAACCAAAAAUGUUCAGUUCUAACAGAAAAUCACUUACCACACCAAGAACUGGGAAGAUCUCAAACUGAAUGAAAAAGACUCAAUAGAUGCCUACACUAGGAUGAUAGAAAUAUUUGAACUAUUUGACAAGAAUUUUAAAGCAUCCACCUUAAAAAUGCUUCAGACAAUAAUUAUGAACAUGCUUGAAAUAAAUUAAAAUAUAGAAUGUCUCAGCAAAGAAAUCAAAGAUAUAAUGGAACACCAAGGAAUUUUGACUCCUGAGAA